rnacentral:rRNA from 1 species
ACGCUCGACACCUACGGGAGGCAGCAGUGGGGAAUAUUGCACAAUGGGGGAAACCCUGAUGCAGCGACGCCGCGUGAGCGAAGAAGUAUUUCGGUAUGUAAAGCUCUAUCAGCAGGAAAGAAGAAAGACGGUACCUGACUAAGAAGCCCCGGCUAACUACGUACCAGCAGCCGCGGUAAUCUGAGCGGGCUGGCAAGGC